rnacentral:tRNA from 1 species
GCCGAAGUGGCGAAAUGGCAGACGCGCUAGCUUCAGGAGCUAGUGCCCGCAAGGGCGUGGAGGUUCGAGUCCUCUCUUCGGCACCA